UUCGGGAAUUCCGAGACAGGUGCUGCAUGGCUGUCGUCAGCUCGUGCCGUGAGGUGUGGGUUAAGUCCCGCAACGAGCGCAACCCUAUUGCCAGUUGCUACCAGGUAAUGCUGGGCACUCUGGUGAGACUGCCCCGGUUAACCGGGGAGGAAGGUGGGGACGACGUCAAGUCAUCAUGGCCCUUACGCCUAGGGCUACACACGUACUACAAUGGCGCAUACAAAGGGCAGCGAUACCGCGAGGUGGAGCCAAUCCCAAAAAGUGCGUCCCAGUCCGGAUUGCAGUCUGCAACUCGACUGCAUGAAGUUGGAAUCGCUAGUAAUUCGAGAUCAGCAUGCUCGGGUGAAUGCGUUCCCGGGCCUU
rnacentral:rRNA from 1 species